CAAAGCACUUUGAAGAGAGAGUUAAAGAGGACGUGAAACCGGUAAGGUGGAAACGGAUAGAGUCGGCGUAUCAUUCAAUUAUUCAGUUACAUUAUUUUUAUGUUGUGACCUCUGAGCUCCAGAUUGGGACAGAGGGAAUCAGCAUAAUUUUUUGUGGUGCAUUUACUUGAUUGGUGCUUGGGGAUGUUUGAGGCAGAUUUGUUUCCGUCGUUUUGAGGCCAGCUUGCUGGUACCCAAACGGUGUUAGCAUUUUUUGUCUUGGGCAUUUGAGUAUGGCUCACGUGUAUUUAUUGGACAGAUCUGAGUGUAAGUUACGGUCGCAUGCGACACGUGCUUUUCAAUUAGUUCGGUCCAGUUAAUGCUCUCGUACUCGUUCCCCAUGUAAAAGCCGGUCAUCUAUCCGACCCGUCUUGAAACACGGACCAAGGAGUUUAUCGUGUGCGCAAGUUUUUGGGUGUUAAAAACUUAAAAGCGAAAUGAAAGUAAAUGACUCUUUAGAGUCUGAUGUGCGAUCUUGUAAAAAAGUGUAGCAUGGCCCCAUUCUAACUGUUUACAGUAGGGUGGCGGAAGAGCGUACACGGUGAGACCCGAAAGAUGGUGAACUAUUCCUGAGCAGGACGAAGCCAGAGGAAACUCUGGUGGAAGUCCGAAGCGGUUCUGACGUGCAAAUCGAUCGUCUGACUUGGGUAUAGGGGCGAAAGACUAAUCGAACCAUC
rnacentral:rRNA from 1 species